rnacentral:misc_RNA from 1 species
GUUACGUUGUGGCUACUGUCAAUUCUGACGUUUAGAUAUGUGGAAAUGUAGGGUUAUGUUUUUCUUUUAUUUAUAAAAUAAAUAUUUUAUUACACUUUUAUUUAUAUACGUUAUGUUUAUUAUACAAUGGAUUCUCUAAAGUCACCACACUCAACCUAUAAAAACUCACAAAGUUGGACUGACGACUUGCCAGUUUGUAAGAAUACUGGAAUAGGAUAUUCAACAAACCAAAUUUAUAGAGAGGAUGGAAACCCCCAAGAAGAGCAUACUUAUGAAGACUGCAGUUGUCACUUUAAAUUUAAUGAAGGUUUCUAUUGGUAUGCAGUGUUUGAUGGCCAUGAAGGAAAGAGGGCUGCUGACUUCUGCUGCCAGAGGAUGACUGCUGAGAUCUACUUUUCACAACCAAUGGAAAAUCAGUCUGACGAGGAAGUCAAAGAACUACUGAAUCAAGCUUUUAUGACAGUAGAAAAGGGUUACAUGCAGAGCUUGGAAGAUUUAUUAGCUGAAAGAACAAGUUUGAUGUAUGAUAUACCCGAAGGCCUAACUCAGUAUGAAGCUUAUCAGAAAGUACCACACAUAGUUCAAAAUAUAAACAAAAUAAACAAUGAGUUGUCUUCGGGAUCAGCGACAGCAGUAGCUCUGAUCCAUAAUAAUAAACUGUAUGUAGCAAAUGUUGGUAAUUGUAGAGUUUUGUUGUGCCAAACAGAUCUCAAUGCAGUUCUUAAAGUGGUACAGCUGAGUGUGGAUCACGAUCUGAAAAAUGAAGAUGAACUUCUUCGACUUUCACAACUAGGAAUCAAUUUAAAAAGUCUUAGAAAGAGUACUAGAUUAGGAAACCAAGAAAAUACCCGAUGUUUGGGCAAUUACAUUAUUAAAGAAGGCUAUAGGGAUUUUGAAGACUUAGCUAUGGCAUCAGAGGAACCAAUAAUCGCCCAGCCGGACAUUCACGGAGGAAUCGUCUUGGAUGAAUCAUCAAGGUUUCUCUUACUUAUGUCAGCUGGCCUUUAUAAAUCUAUAGAAGAGGCUACAGGGACAGAUCAAGUCAAUAAAUAUAUCGCUCAAUGUGUUGUUGAACAGUUUCGUGAACAAGCUACAUUAACAGGAGUAGCCCAAGCAGUAGUAGACAAAGCAGUUCGUCUUCACCACGAUUGGUACAUGUCGAAUUCUUUGAACAAUUCAUGUUCUCCAAAACGUGAAGAUAUUACUCUCGUUCUUAGAAAUUUUAACUACCCCUUGCCCAACGCUAUAACAUCACCCACGAAUCCCUCGGUUUCGUUUAAUCCAAUUGUCACCAAAAAUACAAUUUCGGAUAGGUAUAGCUCAGCAUCUAUCGCUACGGUGGGUAGUGGAAACAGUGAUAGUACCACAAUUACCAACAAAACUAGCGACACUUCAAGUAUAGACGUUAAACUUGAUGAUGACAUCGGCUCUGACCAGAAAAUUGAAGCUUAUGUUGACUUCUCUGAUUUUUAUAGGAAUUAUAAUAAGGCAAAGAAAAAUGGAACGUUGCCAGUGGGAUUGGACUUUUAAAUUGACAAACGGCACUUCUUAGGUGAAGUGCCUGUAAUCAUACACGAAUCUUAUUUUUAUCGAACAUCAUCAACAAUUUUGACAAAUUAUUGUUUUAGUCACUCUCAAAUGAAUAAUUGAGCCUAAAUUCGUCCAGUAAUUCAAAAGACGGUGCAAAAAACGUACUUAUUGCGUAAUAUUAUAACCAUAAUGCUGUUUUUAUACUUACCGAGGGUCAAGAGAUCUUACAUUUGGUAGAAGUUUGUUCUGGCUAUUUCCAUACGAGUGAUAUUUAAUUUGAAUGCCCUUUGAUGUUGGCAACAUUAUAUGGAUUCGAUUGUAGUACCAUGGGAAAAAUAAUUUAUUGGUAGCUCAAAUAGCUCAAAGCUAAAUAUCAUGAAGUAAUGAUUAACGUGUUAACUAAGCUAUAGGUUUUAAAAGACUACACCCCUAAUCUGGGUCAAUCCCAAUUUAUAUUAUACUAGUGAUUUUACCUGUCGCCAUGCGAUCGGGGAUACAAUCAAUUGCCCUCUACAGUUACUGCACUCAAUUUUUUUUUACUGCCUUCUAUUUUAUCGUAUCUCUCUCCAAUUUAUUCUGACCUACUGUAAUUUUUUCUGACCCCUCCAUUUUUUUCUGACACCUUCCUAUUGUUCUUGCACCCUCUAAUUUCUUCGGAAACCCUCCAAUUUUUUCUCACAUCCUCGAAUUUUUACUGAUCAGCAUUAACAUUCUCUUCUCAGUAAGCAAGUAACACACAUAUUUCUCAUUAAAAUAGGAAGUGGUUGAAUGCUAAUUGGAAUAUUUCUUAUUGUUUAUGCAAUACGAUGCCUCGUGUAUCCAAUUUAUUGUUAUGAAAACAAAUUCAGAUCUUUACUGAUCCAGCUGCGUAAAUAUUUGAAAUUAUAUCAAUUAAAAGAAGAAACAUACCAAUAUAGUUAUUUUCCUAACAAGUGCAGAAAGUCAUUCUUUUCCGCACGCGACUGCAGUUUGCCGAACGACGCGAAGCGGGAGUUCGGCAAGCAGUCGAGUGCGGAAAAGAGAUUUUCUGCAAGAGUUAGGAACAAUAUUUUUUCUAAGAGUCUUUAAAGAAUUACCAAAUCUUAAUCAAUUAAUUUAAUUAAUAUGAAAAUACAUACACAAAUUAAUUCUUUGACAAGGAUGUCAAAACCAAACUUUCAAUAUAAUUAGUUAGCAUGACGACGAUCUUGGUUUCCAUGACAAUGAUUCAAAACGACUGUUAUUGUCUACCGAUUUGACUUUCGAAUAUUAUGUCAAAAUAAUUUUAUUUCAUCAAAUUGUCGCGUUAAUUUCAUUAAAACAGGAACACAAUAAGAUAUAUUUGAAAUAAAUUAGUAAAUAAUAUCUAAAUAUUAGUUUAUUGCAUGUAUUAUAUUUACUUUAAGGCCAUAUUAACAUAUCUAAAUUAACACGCGUGCGGAAAAGUAAAAACCGCGUGCGGAAAAGUAACACGCGUGCGGAAAAGUAACACGCGUGCGGAAAAGUGAAACUUUCUAAACUAAAAUGCGUGCGCGAAAGGAGACAUUUUUGCACGCUCGUAGAAAAAAUAUUAUACAAACCGUCGAAAACAUCUACUCCCAUAAUGGAAAACUAACACAGUUUAUACCAGUACAAAGCGGAGUCAGACAAGGUGACUCGUUAAGCCCACUUCUCUUUAAUAUAAUAAUGGACGAAAUAAUAGAAGCAGUACGUCAAGGUCAUGGUUACAGAAUGGGGAACAAAGAAAUACAAAUAUUAUGUUAUGCAGGCGACGCCGCGUUAAUCGCCGAGACAGAAGACGAUCUCCAAAGAUUAACACACAUAUUCAAUACAACAGCUAAGAAAUACAAUAUGAUAAUAUUAGCAGAAAAAAUCAAAUGUAUGACAACAUCUAAAUACCCACUACGAUGUAAAAUCGUAAUUGAUGGGAAAAUAAUAAAGCAGGAAGCAAGGUUUAGGUAUCUGGGAAUAGAUAUAACCAGUUACGGAGAUGUUGAAGAGGAAGUACGACAACAAAGCUUAAAAGCAAGUAAAGCGGCGGGAUCUCUUAAUGACACAAUGUGGAAGAACAAACACCUAAGACAAGAAACAAAAGCAAGAAUCUAUAAAGCAGCAAUUAGACUUAUAUUGACAUACACGGCGGAGACAAGACCUGAUACAUCUAAAACGAGACGACUACUAGAAACAACAGAGAUGAAAAUACUUCGACGAAUAUCAGGGAAAAGUCUGUUGGAUAGGGAGAGAAGCGAAAACAUAAGAAGAUCAUGCAAUGUAGAAGACAUAAAUGGAUGGGUGACAAAACAGAAACAGGAGUGGAACCAACACAUUAGUAGAAUGGCAGAGAAUAGGAUAGUACGAAUAGCACGAAAUAAGUCACCAAAUGGACGAAGAAGUAUGGGUAGACCAAGAAAAAGAUGGUGCGAUAAUUUAAACAAUUUAGGAGGAUAAUAUUGAAGAAGAAACAGGCUUUAAAGCCUACAUACAAGAAGAAAGAAGAAGAAUAUCAAUUAUGUCUCGUAUAAAUUGGUGUGAAUAGGUUGAUUUGGAUUAUAUUACCAAAAUCUUUGUUCUCGGUAUUUUUGAUGAAGAAAUUGUAUUGAAUUGUAGUGAAUUUCUGCAUUUGUUGCUUUAUUUCUGCAUUGUUGCCCAGCUUUGUCGUCGAAUCCUGAAGUUAUCUUAUACCAACUACGUUACUAAUGAGGACGUCUUAUUGAGAAUACUAAAAGAAAAAGAGCUGUUAAUCACAAUAAAAACAGCCAAAAACGAAUACCUACGAAACGGAUUAGCACUACAAGAAGAAGUUUCUGCAAGUAUUUAGAACUUUUCAUUUCAACUUUUCAUUUUCAUUAUGUUCUCGUCUUGGUGGUUCUAAAGGAAGAGCUGUCAGUCUCACUUCGAAGUAAGUAGUUGACUAGGUUCAUUGUCCGAGGGGAACACUAACCAGAAAAUACAAGGUGAUUCAGUGAAACGGUACAAUUUGACAAGGCUGCUGACGAUAAAAUGGAGGAGUCGUGGCCUUGCGAUGUAAACGUUGUGAAUCUAGAGAGUGGGAAGUUUAGUUAUCAUGAAGACGUGGUUGGAUGAACAACGCGUAUUUGCUGUGAAAGCUUAUUACAAAAAUGGUGAAAGUUUUGUGCGUGUACAACAAGCAUUUCGUUUACACUACCAUUUGCCGCCCCGCGCUGCAGUUUCUUCUAACAUGGCUAUUAAGACGUGGGUUAGGAACUUUGAAAGUAGUGGUUCAAUAUCACAGAAAAGAGGUGGCAGUGUCAUAACUGCUCGCACACUAGAGAAUAUUAAAACGGCGCCAAAUUCAUUACAUGCGAGUCGUCGCGGGAUCUUCGAGCACUCGCGUGUAAUAAAUUUGGCACCGCUUUGAUAUUCUGUGGUGUGCGAGCAGUUCUGAUACUGUCACCUCUUUUUUAUGUUGAACCACUACUUUUAAAGUUACUAACCCAAGUCUUGGUCUUGUGAACGGGACAGCAAAUGGUAGUUGUACACGCACAAAACUUUCACCAUUUUUAUAAUAAGCUUUCACAGCAAAUGCGCGUUGGUCACAAGACCACUCCUCCAUGAUAAAUAAACUUCCCACUCUCUAGAUUCACAACGUGUACGUCGCAAGCCCGCGGCUUCUCUACUUUAUCGUCAGCAGCGUUGUCAAAUCGUACCAUUUCACUGAAUCACCCUUUAUUUCAAACUUAGGUGGAGUGAGUGUAAAAUCCAAAAUGGAUUUUUAACUGGAAUGAGCGCAUGAAUCGAAUCGACAGAUUAACGGGAAGUACGGUGAGAGAUCGGGUUUCGCGACCCACUAACUCUCAUCGAAUGAUCCCUCCCGGAAUGCGUUAAAACACUAGUAACCCCAAUCAUACAAUAACUGUGUCAUUAGCAAAGCAAAGGAAGAUUUUUCAUUUUGAGGACAGCUUUUAAAUUGUAGUUAAUUCCUUCUUUCUUCUUAAGGUGCCAUCUUCUUUCGAAGGUUGGCGAGCAUCAUGACUAUUUGUAUUAUGUUUACAGCUGCUCUAGAAAGCAAUUUAGAUGAGCAAUUAAACCACCCUGAGAUUGCGUAGCCACGACAUUCGUCGCCUUCCAACGCUACACUUUCCUUAAAUCUUUCCCUGUAUGAUAUCCUGCAGAAGCUGUAUUUUUUCCUCUUUUCACGUGGCCAAGGUAUUGUAGUUUUCGUAUCUUUAUUUCAUUAUUUAGUUCUGAUUCUUGUGAAAGUCUUCCCAGUCAGAGUUAAUGAAGACAUUGAUCAAAAUAUCUUUGUGUUAAACUUCAUGUUACGAUCAUGUCGUGUGCGAUUUUAUGUAUAAAACGAUACUUGAUUAUAUUUUACCAAUUUUAUUAGAAGUACCUAUUCGAGAUAAGCAAAUUUUGUGAUUGAUAAAUUAUUGUUUUUGAUAAUUUUUCAGACUCUGAAAACAAGAAAUAAUUAAGAUAUAUGUAAUAAUCAAGAAAUCAUAACCCAUUUUCGAUUUUAUUGAAAACUAUUUUAACUACUUUUUAAAUUAAAAAAUUUAAAUAAU